rnacentral:rRNA from 1 species
CUUGACAGGGUUACUCUGAGUGACUUUCGUUAAGAAAGUCUUUUGACACCUCUAAAAAUGGUGUAGAAUAAGGGGUGGGCAAGUCUGGUGUCAGCCGCCGCGGUA